GACGAACGCUGGCGGCGUGCUUAACACAUGCAAGUCGAACGGAAAGACCCUGCUUUUGUGGGGUUCUCGAUUGGCGAACGGGUGAGUAACACGUGAGUAACCUGCCCUUGUCUUUGGGAUAACUUCAGGAAACUGGGGCUAAUACCGGAUAGGAGCUCCUGCUGCAUGGGGGGGGUUGGAAAGUUUCGGCGGUUGGGGAUGGACUCGCGGGUUAUCAGCUGGUUGGUGGGGUAGGGGCUUACCAAGCCUUUGACGGGUAGCCGGCCUGAGAGGGUGAACGGCCACAUUGGGACUGAGAUACGGAGCAGAAUGCUACGGGAGGCAGUAGUGGGGAAUAUUGCACAAUGGGCGGAAGCCUGAUGCGGCAACGCCGCGUGCGGGAUGACGGCCUUCGGGUUGUAAACCGCUUUCGCCUGUGCCGAAGCGUGAGUGACGGUAAUGGGUAAAGAAGCACCGGCUAACUACGUG
rnacentral:rRNA from 1 species